rfam:Kluyvera intermedia strain CAV1151, complete genome.
AGUCAUGACUGCUAUUCUCCGAGAAUAGUGAUUGUGAUUAGCGAGGCGCUCGUGUUCCAGCACGGGCGUCUUGCGAA